AAAGCGGAGAAGUCGGUGCCCAGAGGCGGGGAGAGGGACGUGAGGACACAGGGCGGAGGGAACGACUUUGUCUGCCUGGGAUGGAAACUGCACAAUGAAAUGCAAAGAGUUCAGCUCCCCCAGACCUUCGCCACAUCUUGGAUACAAGGAACCGUAAAACUUGGCAGAAGAUAAACAGAAAAUGCUUUAAAUUCAAUCUGAAUUGCUUUAACAUCAUCUCCUUUUCCCCAGUAAUUUUUGCAAGGCCAAAACUGCUUUAGACUUCUUGCCUGGAACUGUUUAGUGUUGAUGAUGAUCAUUUUUUUCAAAGUAGAUUUCAACACAGGUGCUGGCAGGAAUUUUUCAUUCUUUUUAUCUUGCCUCCUAUGAUGGGGAAAUUACCCUCCUGCUGUGAAGUUACGACAGGGUAGUUAACCAUUACAAAAAGAGCAAUUUCAGGUCUCCUACGAGUGCUUCUUAGAAUCACAGAAUCACAGAAGGGCUGUGUUGAAAAGGACCUCAAAGAUCAUCAAGUCAGGCGAAGAAACGGAUAACAGCUUCUGGCACACCUUUGCAAAUAAGACUAAUUAAAUGUAUAAAUUUUUACUUCUUUGAACGCAGAACCAAUAAAAAAAAAAUAAUAAUAAAAAUGGGAGGUAGCCUGUAUCUCUUUCUGCCAUAAUUUUACCAAAAAGUUCUCAACACAGAUUUUUAGAAACUUUUCUGAUGAUAUCUAUGAUUUCCUUCUCUGCGUACUUUUCUUUGGUGUCUCUGUUUCUUUGGUAUUUCUGUAUUUUCUCCCCCAGCUUCUGUCAGAUCGGUCCCUCACUUCUGCAGUGACAUUCACCUGGCAGUGGAACUAGUUGCUCAAAUAAUUCAAUCUUACAAAUGUCUUGUGUUUUGGAUGGCAAUUUCAUGGCUGAACAAACCUCUGCAAGAGCUAUCCCCUCAUUCAAGAUAAAUAGACGAUAGCUGUGCUCAUUUGUCCCACAAACAGCAGAUGACUUGUUCUAUUUAUUUUUUAAUGAUGAUAAAAUAGAAUAUUCCUCCCAGAGUUUAGCACCACAGGAGACAUCAGAUAACUGACACAUGCAUACAACAGAAGUAACCAGUGGCUCAUGGCUAUUUAGGCCUGAAAGCAGUUGUAAAUCUCUAGGAGGGAUGUACAAUUAGACACUGUCUCUGUGCUUCAGAACACAUCCCUGGCUGCCACUUCAUACCUACACAUUGCCUUCGCCUCUAAAAAUAAGGGAUGAUAUCUAGCUAUUGUCUGCUCUUUCGGAUAGUUUUGAUGAUGACUACCUAACACAGAUAUAGUGAGAUUCAAUACCAAUCCUUAAUGGUACUUUUGCCUAUUUCAUCAUACAUGUCAGAAUUCACAUCGAUACGUAUUUGCUGUGAAUUUAUUUCAUCUUAUUUUCAACAGUUCUGUUGUGAAGGCAGAAGGAUAGCAGAUGAACAAAGGAAAACAAGCAGAUUAUAUAUUUUCCCCUGUUUACUGAGUACUGUGUAGGAACCUGCUUUGGCAGGGGGGCUGGACUCGAUGAUCUCUGGAGGUCCCUUCCAACCCCUACAAUUCUGUGAUUCUGUGAUCAGCUGGGUCAGACUUAUUGCAAAUUCAUUAAACGUAAAUGUCUGAUAUUCUUCAGAUGUUUCCCUAUCUUUUACAUUCUAAACAUACCCAGUUUACAGAAGCCACAAGUAGUUGCCAGCAAAGGUACAUGUUAGUUCCUUGCUCUCCUGCAGCAUUUUCUGUGCUGUCUGGCACUUCCAAGUUUUGUCUAGUUUGAGCAUCUCUCACAUCUGAGAGUAUUAAGUUAAUUUUGUGCAUACUGCCACCUGCUGUGGUUAACCAAAACUAAAGCUGAAAUACCAGUUUACUGGAUUUCAGUGUUUUCAUGCAGCAUAUAGGUGCCAACAUUUGCGUUCAGGUAUCCUUGCCCUAAAACUGAAAGAUUAUAUUAGCCUCAGCCUACACAUAUAAGCUGUAUGUAACAAGUAAAAAAGGUUUUUAUUGAAUUACUUCCUUGUUCAGUCAUUUAUCUUUGUGCAAGGCAUGCGUAAUUCCAUAUGUUACAUUACUGAACAUUGAACACAUGCUCAUGUUAGCAUGUUUAUGGACACACACACACAGUGGUGGAAUCGGGGCCUGGAGAAGAAAAAGAGGGCCUGGUGCCUGCCCUCAGGUCACUUCCAUCCAACUUCCCUAAUGUACCACGUGUCUGAGAGAAGCUGCUGUGCUACUAACGAAGCUGUAAGGCCACUAAGAUGAU